rnacentral:rRNA from 1 species
UACGUAGGGGGCUAGCGUUGUCCGGAUUUAUUGGGCGUAAAGAGCGUGUAGGCGGCCAGGUAAGUCCGAUGUGAAAACUCGAGGCUCAACCUCGAGACGUCGGCGGAAACCAUCUGGCUAGAGUCCGGAAGAGGAGAGUGGAAUUCCUGGUGUAGCGGUGAAAUGCGCAGAUAUCAGGAAGAACACCCGUGGCGAAGGCGGCUCUCUGGGACGGUACUGACGCUGAGACGCGAAAGCGUGGGGAGCAAACAGG